rfam:Equus caballus chromosome 14, whole genome shotgun sequence.
GGAAAGGCAGCUUGACUGUUUCCCGGACACUGUCUGGAGGAGUCACACAAACUUAGACAUUUCUUCCUCUCGUGUCCACUUGCCAUGACUAUCUGAGGCAGAGAGAAGUCUUUGAGAUAGCUACCGGGACCCUACAUGGAUCUCUGUGAUGUCAUUCACUGAUCCUUCUAGGCCAGCCGACUCCUCUAAACAUCACCAUAUUCCUUCAAUUCCACUAGGUGUGCCCUGGUCAUUUAGGGAGAAUCUUCUGGGCUACAGCAAA